rnacentral:rRNA from 1 species
CGAAAGCCUGAUGGAGCAAUACCGCGUGAGGGAUGAAGCAUCGUGGUGUGUAAACCUCUUUUCUUAAGGAAGAAUCAAUGACGGUACUUAAGGAAUAAGCACCGGCUAACUCUGUGCCAGCAGCCGCGGUAAUACAGAGGGUGCAAGCGUUGUCCGGAAUGAUUGGGCGUAAAGCAUCUGUAGGUGGUUUCUAAAGUCAACUGUUAAAUCCCAGAGCUCAACUUUGGCCAAGCAGUUGAGUACUUAGAGACUUGAGUACGGUAGGGGUAGAGGGAAUUCCUUGUUUAGCGGUGAAAUGCAUAGAGAUAAGGAAGAACACCAGUGGCGAAAGCG